rnacentral:rRNA from 1 species
UACGUAGGGUGCGAGCGUUAAUCGGAAUUACUGGGCGUAAAGCGUGCGCAGGCGGUUUCGUAAGACAGACGUGAAAUCCCCGGGCUCAACCUGGGAACUGCGUUUGUGACUGCGAGGCUAGAGUACGGCAGAGGGGGGUAGAAUUCCACGUGUAGCAGUGAAAUGCGUAGAGAUGCGGAGGAACACCGAUGGCGAAGGCAGCCCCCUGGGCUAACACUGACGCUCAGGCACGAAAGCGUGGGGAGCAAACAGGAUUAGAUACCCGAGUAGU